rnacentral:snRNA from 1 species
GUGUUCGCUUAGGCAGUACAUAUACUAAAAUUGGAAUGAUACAGAGAAGAUUAGCAUGGCCCCUGCACAAGGAUGACACACAAAUUGGUGAAGUGUUCCAUAUUUUU